rnacentral:rRNA from 1 species
AACGAACGCUGGCGGCAGGCUUAACACAUGCAAGUCGAGCGCCCCGCAAGGGGAGCGGCAGCCGGGUGAGUAACGCGUGGGAACGUACCUUUUGGUUCGGAACAACUCCGGGAAACUGGAGCUAAUACCGGAUAAGCCCUAACGGGGAAAGAUUUAUCGCCGAAAGAUCGGCCCGCGUCUGAUUAGCUAGUUGGUGAGGUAACGGCUCACCAAGGCGACGAUCAGUAGCUGGUCUGAGAGGAUGAUCAGCCACACUGGGACUGAGACACGGCCCAGACUCCUACGGGAGGCAGCAGUGGGGAAUAGUGGACAAUGGGCGCAAGCCUGAUCCAGCCAUGCCGCGUGAGUGAUGAAGGCCUUAGGGUUGUAAAGCUCUUUUGUCCGGGAAGAUAAUGACUGUACCGGAAGAAUAAGCCCCAGCUAACUUCGUG